rnacentral:rRNA from 1 species
UGGUCAAGUUAUUAAGGGUGCAGGGUGGAUGCCUUGGCACUAGGAGCCGAUGAAGGACGUGAUAAGCUGCGAUAAGCUUCGGGGAGUUGCACGUAAACUUUGAUCCGAAGAUUUCCGAAUGAGGAAACUCACUUAGAGUAAUGUCUAAGUAUCAUUAAGUGAAUACAUAGCUUAAUGAGGGGAACUCAGGGAACUGAAACAUCUAAGUACCUGAAGGAAGAGAAAGAAAUUCGAUUCCGUAAGUAGCGGCGAGCGAACGCGGAUUAGCCCAAACCAAUAAAGUUUUCUUUAUUGGGGUUGCGGACAUAUCAUAACGAAGAGGUAUCGUAAUUGAAGAGGUUUGGAAAGACCCACCACAGAAGGUAAUAGUCCUGUAUGUUAAACGAGAAGACUUCAGAUAUGAUCCAGAGUACCA